GAUGUAGAGGAAAGUGGCGGACGGGUGAGUAACGCGUGAGGAACCUGCCUUGAAGAGGGGGACAACAGUUGGAAACGACUGCUAAUACCGCAUGACGCAUAGAGGUCGCAUGAUCUUUAUGCCAAAGAUUUAUCGCUUCAAGAUGGCCUCGCGUCUGAUUAGCUAGUUGGCGGGGUAACGGCCCACCAAGGCGACGAUCAGUAGCCGGACUGAGAGGUUGAACGGCCACAUUGGGACUGAGAUACGGCCCAGACUCCUACGGGAGGCAGCAGUGGGGAAUAUUGGGCAAUGGGCGCAAGCCUGACCCAGCAACGCCGCGUGAAGGAAGAAGGCUUUCGGGUUGUAAACUUCUUUUAAGAGGGAAGAGGAGAAGACGGUACCUCUAGAAUAAGCCACGGCUAACUACGUGCCAGCAGCCGCGGUAAUACGUAGGUGGCAAGCGUUGUCCGGAUUUACUGGGUGUAAAGGGCGUGCAGCCGGGUCUGCAAGUCAGAUGUGAAAUCCAUGGGCUCAACCCAUGAACUGCAUUUGAAACUGUAGAUCUUGAGUGUCGGAGGGGCAAUCGGAAUUCCUAGUGUAGCGGUGAAAUGCGUAGAUAUUAGGAGGAACACCAGUGGCGAAGGCGGAUUGCUGGACGA
rnacentral:rRNA from 1 species